CUACUUUUAAAAAUCCAUCUCUCUAAAAACAAGUCUCUCACCGUUGCCGCCUGCUAUAGACCACCCUCUGCCCCCAGCUGUGCUCUGGACACCAUACCUGCUGUUUUCAACCAAGAUCUCGGUGAUCACUGCCUCAUUGCCUGCAUCCGUAAUAGGUCAGCGGUCAAACGACCUCCACUCAUCACUGUCAAAUGCUCCCUAAAACAUUUCAGUGAGCAAGCCUUUCUAAUCGACCUGGCCCGAGUAUCCUGGAAGGAUAUUGACCUCAUCCCGUCAGUAGAGGAUGCCUGUUUUUUUUUUUUAAAUGCCUUCCUCACCAUCUUAAAUAAGCAUGCCCCAUUCAAGAAAUUUAGAACCAGGAACAAAUAUAGCCCUUGGUUCUCUCCAGACCUGACUGCCCUUAACCAACACAAAAACAUCCUGUGGCAUUCUGCAUUAGCAUCGAACAGCCCCCGUGAUAUGCAACUUUUCAGGGAAGUUAGAAACCAAUAUACACAGGCAGUUAGAAAAGCCAAGGCUAGCUUUUUCAAGCAGAAAUUUGCUUCCUGCAACACAAACUCAAAAAAGUUCUGGGACACUGGAAAGUCCAUGGAGAAUAAGAACACCUCCUCCCAGCUGCCCACUGCACUGAGGAUAGGAAACUCUGUCACCUCCGAUAAAUCCACUAUAAUUGAGAAUUUCAAUAAGCAUUUUUCGACGGCUGGCCAUGCUUUCCCCCUGGCUACCUCUACCGGUCAACAGCACUGCACCCCCCACAGCUACUCGCCCAAGCCUUCCCCAUUUCUCCUUCUCCCAAAUCCAGUAAGCUGAUGUUCUGAAAGAGCUGAAAAAUCUGGACCCCUACAAAUCAGCCGGGCUAGACAAUCUGGACCCUUUCUUUCUAAAAUUAUCUGCCGAAAUUGUUGCAACCCCUAUUACUAGCCUGUUCAACCUCUCUUUCGUGUCAUCUGAGAUUCCAAAAGAUUGGAAAGCAGCUGCUGUCAUCCCCCUCUUCAAAGGGGGAGACACUCUAGACCCAAACUGCUACAGACCUAUAUCUAUCCUACCCU
rnacentral:lncRNA from 8 species